rfam:Gossypium raimondii Chr03_contig_671, whole genome shotgun sequence.
UGUUAAAAUUUUCAUUCAUUUCUACUAUUAAAAAUCUGUGUGGGUGACGAAAUAACUAGACAAUUACACUUGGUGUACCACUUGAACAUCAUGUUUACAUAUAGGAACUAGUUUUUAAUCUUAAAAAUAGAUGAAUUUUAUAUCA